CACACAUAGGAACCUCCUCAAAGGAUUCUAUGGACAGUCGAUGCAGGGAGGUAAGAGCUCCCUGCAUCGGCGAUUUU
rnacentral:antisense_RNA from 1 species